rnacentral:rRNA from 1 species
GGCGAACGGGUGCGUAAUGCAUGGGAAUCUGCCUAGUAGUGGGGAAUAACCCGGCGAAAGCCAGGCUAAUGCCGCAUACGACCUACGGGUGAAAGCGGGGGAUCGCAAGACCUCGCGCUAUUAGAUGAGCCCAUGUCGGAUUAGCUAGUUGGUAGGGUAACGGCCUACCAAGGCGACGAUCCGUAGCUGGUCUGAGAGGACGGCCAGCCACACUGGGACUGAGACACGGCCCAGACUCCUACGGGAGGCAGCAGUGGGGAAUUUUGGACAAUGGGGGCAACCCUGAUCCAGCGACGCCGCGUGUGUGAAGAAGGCCUGCGGGUUGUAAAGCACUUUCGUUGGGAACGAAAUAUGCCGACCUAAUACGUCGGUAGGCUGACGUUACCCAAAUAAGAAGCACCGGCUAACUCUGUGCCAGCAGCCGCGGUAAUACAGAGGGUGCGAGCGUUAAUCGGAAUUACUGGGCGUAAAGCGCACGUAGGCGGCUAUGUAAGUCAGGUGUGAAAUCCCCGGGCUCAACCUGGGAACUGCAUUUGAGACUGCAU